rnacentral:rRNA from 1 species
UACGGAGGAUCCAAGCGUUAUCCGGAAUCAUUGGGUUUAAAGGGUCCGUAGGCGGUUUAAUAAGUCAGUGGUGAAAUCCCAUCGCUCAACGAUGGAACGGCCAUUGAUACUGUUAGACUUGAAUUAUUAGGAAGUAACUAGAAUAUGUAGUGUAGCGGUGAAAUGCUUAGAUAUUACAUGGAAUACCAAUUGCGAAGGCAGGUUACUACUAAUAUAUUGACGCUGAGGGACGAAAGCGUGGGGAGCGAACAGG